UGUAAUGGACUUUAAACGGCUUCUAGUUCAAACGACCCUUCCAGUGCUAAACCCCACUGUAACAUCCCCACCAAGUGAUCCUCAAGCCACGAGGGAGGUGUCUUAAACCCAGCCCUGAGUGAUUGCAGCCCCCCUCCCACCUGGUGGAUUUCAUGAGCUCUUUGAAUGCCAGAAGGGGCAGGAGGAAAUGCCCCAGGAGAAAGGAUGGUGAAGAAGAGGAGCAGAAGAGACCUAUCACUGGAAAGCAUGGAAAUGAUCAGUAAAUAGGUAGUUGAGCUGCGAGGUAAAUUUGUGAGGGAACAAAAUCAAUCUCCUGUAAAGACAUUAGAAGGAGAAAGGAGAACCAAGCCACGUUUCCCAGCCAGAAAUGGGGAGCACUGGGAAUUCAUAUGGAAGACACAGGCUGGGUUUGACAGAAAAGAGGAGUAGAAGACUGGAAGAAGGCGCAAAAUAAGAGAUGAGGGGCCGCAAGAGGGUACUGGAGUAAGGGAGAAAAAGCUGCAUUUGUGCCCAUUAGCCUUGAAUAUAAAGACCCAGCCUCAGUUCUGAAAAAGAGCCAGCAAUGAGGCAGCCCCAGAAUCAGCCCUACUGCUGAAGUCUGACACGUUAACAACCCAGCGGGAAUUAAGAGGUGAAAUCAGCAGAUGAAACAAUUGAUGAAGCCGAGAUAAGCAUUCCUGGGAAGGAAUUUUUCAAAAAAUCAACAUGAAUCUGUAAAUUUUCCUAAUCAGGAAAUAUGACAAAAAAUUAAAUUCAACCGAAAAAAAUGAAGUGCUAAAUAACUCACCCACGCUAAAUGGAAAGGCUCUAUUGAAAAUACCACUGAUUAUUAGUUUUAGCUGCUCAGGGAAAUUAUCUAGGCACAAUGAUGGGCAUCAACAUUCAGCUCACAGCAGCAGUCAAAAGCAGCAGCUGAGAUGUGUGGCCAUCCUAAUUAGAGGAUGGAGAAUUCUGAAAAGGCUCUGGAGCUGUGACAUUCCUGGCUGAGGUUUUCCUUCUAGGAAUGCCAUAUUAGGGUUUUGGUCAUCACAUUGUAAAAAAAGGACUUAAUAGGAAUGAUCCGGAA